rnacentral:rRNA from 1 species
UACGAAGGGGGCUAGCGUUGCUCGGAAUUACUGGGCGUAAAGCGCACGUAGGCGGCUCUUUAAGUCGGGGGUGAAAUCCUGGAGCUCAACUCCAGAACUGCCUUCGAUACUGUAGAGCUUGAGUUCGGGAGAGGUGAGUGGAACUGCGAGUGUAGAGGUGAAAUUCGUAGAUAUUCGGAAGAACACCAGUGGCGAAGGCGGCUCACUGGUCCGGUACUGACGCUGAGGUGCGAAAGCGUGGGGAGCAAACAGG